GUGCUCACUUCAGCAGCACAUACAUUAAAAUUGGAAUAAUAUAGAGAUCAGCAUGGCCCCUUUGCAAGGAUGACAUCAAAUUCAUGAAGUGUUCCUUAUUUUU
ensembl:snRNA U6 U6 spliceosomal RNA